AUUGAUUUUAUGCUUGCAUAAAUGAUUUUUGGAUUCGGAGCGAGUGGCGAACUGGUGAGUAACACGUGGGUAACCUGCCCCGAAGCGGGGGAUAACAUUUGGAAACAAGUGCUAAUACCGCAUAAUUAGUUGGAACCGCAUGGUUCCAACUUGAAAGAUGGCUCUGCUAUCACUUUGGGAUGGACCCGCGCCGUAUUAGUUAGUUGGUGAGAUAAAAGCCCACCAAGACGAUGAUACGUAGCCGACCUGAGAGGGUAAUCGGCCACAUUGGGACUGAGACACGGCCCAGACUCCUACGGGAGGCAGCAGUAGGGAAUCUUCCACAAUGGACGAAAGUCUGAUGGAGCAACGCCGCGUGAGUGAUGAAGGUUUUCGGAUCGUAAAACUCUGUUGUUAAAGAAGAACAAGUGUUAGAGUAACUGUUAACACUUUGACGGUAUUUAACCAGAAAGCCACGGCUAACUACGUGCCAGCAGCCGCGGUAAUACGUAGGUGGCAAGCGUUGUCCGGAUUUAUUGGGCGUAAAGCGAGCGCAGGCGGUUUUGUAAGUCUGCUGUGAAAGCCCUCAGCUCAACUGAGGAAGUGCAGUGGAAACUACAAAACUUGAGUACAGAAGAGGAAAGUGGAACUCCAUGUGUAGCGGUGAAAUGCGUAGAUAUAUGGAAGAACACCAGUGGCGAAGGCGGCUUUCUGGUCUGUUACUGACGCUGAGGCUCGAAAGCAUGGGUAGCGAACAGGAUUAGAUACCCUGGUAGUCCAUGCCGUAAACGAUGAAUACUAGGUGUUGGAGGGUUUCCGCCCUUCAGUGCCGCAGCUAACGCAUUAAGUAUUCCGCCUGGGGAGUACGACCGCAAGGUUGAAACUCAAAGGAAUUGACGGGGGCCCGCACAAGUGGUGGAGCAUGUGGUUUAAUUCGAUGCUACGCGAAGAACCUUACCAGCUCUUGACAUCUUCUGCCAACCCAAGAGAUUGGGCGUUCCCUUCGGGGACAGAACGACAGGUGGUGCAUGGUUGUCGUCAGCUCGUGUCGUGAGAUGUUGGGUUAAGUCCCGCAACGAGCGCAACCCUUAUUAUUAGUUGCCAGCAUUUAGUUGGGCACUCUAGUGAGACUGCCGGUGAUAAA
rnacentral:rRNA from 1 species